GACGAACGCUGGCGGCGUGCUUAACACAUGCAAGUCGAACGGAAAGGCCCUGCUUUUGUGGGGUGCUCGAGUGGCGAACGGGUGAGUAACACGUGAGUAACCUGCCCUUGACUUUGGGAUAACUUCAGGAAACUGGGGCUAAUACCGGACAGGAGCUCCUGCUGCAUGGUGGGGGUUGGAAAGUUUCGGCGGUUGGGGCUGGACUCGCGGCUUAUGAGCUUGUUGGUUGGGUAGUGGCUUACCAAGGCUUUGACGGGUAGCCGGCCUGAGAGGGUGACCGGCCACAUUGGGACUGAGGUACGGCCCAGAGUCCUACGGGAGGCAGCAGUGGGAAAUAUUGCACAAUGGGCGGAAGCCUGAUGCAGCAACGCCGCGUGCGGAAUGACGGCCUUCGGGUUGUAAACCGCUUUCGCCUGUGACGAAGCGUGAGUGACGGUAAUGGGUAAAGAAGCACCGGCUAACUACGUG
rnacentral:rRNA from 1 species